UACGGGGGAGCAAGCGUUGUUCGGAUUUACUGGGCGUAAAGGGCGCGUAGGCGGUCAGCACAAGUCAGUUGUGAAAUCUCCGAGCUUAACUCGGAAAGGUCAACUGAUACUGUGCGACUAGAGUGCAGAAGGGGCAACUGGAAUUCUUGGUGUGAGCGGUGAAAUGCGUAGAUAUCAAAGAGGAACACCUGCGGCGAAGGCGGGUUGCUGGGCUGACACUGACGCUGAAGCGCGAAAGCCAGGGGAGCGAACGGG
rnacentral:rRNA from 1 species